rnacentral:misc_RNA from 1 species
UUUCCGUAGGUGAACCUGCGGAAGGAUCAUUAAAGUUAUAGUCCCCCGGCCCCUCCGGGCUGGGGUCUUCUAUACCACCCUUUGUUUAUUACACCUUUGUUGCUUUGGCGAGCGCAAGCUCGCCAGAGAAUACCAAAACUCUUUUUAUUAAUGUCGUCUGAGUACUAUAUAAUAGUUAAAACUUUCAACAACGGAUCUCUUGGUUCUG